rnacentral:rRNA from 1 species
UAGGGAAUCUUCCGCAAUGGGCGAAAGCCUGACGGAGCAACGCCGCGUGAGUGAUGAAGGUCUUCGGAUCGUAAAACUCUGUUAUUAGGGAAGAACAAAUGUGUAAGUAACUAUGCACGUCUUGACGGUACCUAAUCAGAAAGCCACGGCUAACUACGUGCCAGCAGCCGCGGUAAUACGUAGGUGGCAAGCGUUAUCCGGAAUUAUUGGGCGUAAAGCGCGCGUAGGCGGUUUUUUAAGUCUGAUGUGCAAGCCCACGGCUCAACCGUGGAGGGUCAUUGGAAACUGGACAACUUGAGUGCAGAAGAGGAAAGUGGAAUUCCAUGUGUAGCGGUGAAAUGCGCAGAGAUAUGGAGGAACACCAGUGGCGAAGGCGACUUUCUGGUCUGUAACUGACGCUGAUGUGCGAAAGCGUGGGGAUCAAACAGG